rnacentral:rRNA from 1 species
UACGUAGGUGGCAAGCGUUGUCCGGAAUUAUUGGGCGUAAAGCGCGCGCAGGCGGUUAUGUAAGUUUGAUGUUAAAGCCCGGGGCCCAACCUCGGUUCGCAUUGGAAACUGUGUAACUUGAGUGCAGAAGAGGAAAGUGGUAUUCCACGUGUAGCGGUGAAAAGCGUAGAGAUGUGGAGGAACACCAGUGGCGAAGGCGACUUUCUGGUCUGUAACUGACGCUGAGGCGCGAAAGCGUGGGGAGCAAACAGG